UCUUCACAGGUUGAAUUGAAUCAUGGAUAAGAGCAUGUUAGCUAGUUUGGAAUCACUUCCAGAAGCUGAUCAGCAAAGAAUGACGUCCAUGUUGGAACAAGUUCAAAUCUGUGACAGGUACCUC